UACGUAGGGGGCAAGCGUUGUCCGGAUUUAUUGGGCGUAAAGAGCGUGUAGGCGGCUUUGUAAGUCAGUGGUGAAAUAUGGCAGCUCAACUGUCAAGGUGCCAUUGAUACUGCAGAGCUUGAGUACAGAUGAGGUAGGCGGAAUUGACGGUGUAGCGGUGAAAUGCUUAGAUAUCGUCAAGAACACCUAUAGCGAAGGCAGCUUACUAGGCUGUAACUGACGCUGAGGCACGAAAGUGUGGGGAUCAAACAGG
rnacentral:rRNA from 1 species